rnacentral:tRNA from 1 species
GGUCUUAUAGUUUAUUAAGAAUAUUAAAUUGCAAGUUUAAAGGCAUUAUUGGGUUAAGAUCU